AUUGAACGCUGGCGGCAGGCCUAACACAUGCAAGUCGAGCGAGCGGCGGACGGGUGAGUAAUGUCUGUGAAACUGCCUGAUGGAGGGGGAUAACUACUGGAAACGGUAGCUAAUACCGCAUACCAUCAGAUGUUCCCAGAUGGGAUUAGCUGGUAGGGGGGGUAACGGCUCACCAAGGCGACGAUCCCUAGCUGGUCUGAGAGGAUGACCAGCCACACUGGAACUGAGACACGGUCCAGACUCCUACGGGAGGCAGCAGUGGGGAAUAUUGCACAAUGGGCGAAAGCCUGAUGCAGCCAUGCCGCGUGUGUGAAGAAGGCCUUCGGGUUGUAAAGCACUUUCAGCGGGGAGGCGUUACCCGCAGAAGAAGCACCGGCUAACUCCGUGCCAGCAGCCGCGGUAAUAC
rnacentral:rRNA from 1 species